rnacentral:rRNA from 1 species
UACGUAGGUUCCGAGCGUUGUCCGGAAUUACUGGGCGUAAAGAGCUCGUAGGUGGUUUGUCGCGUUGUUCGUGAAAACUCACAGCUCAACUGUGGGCGUGCGGGCGAUACGGGCAGACUGGAGUACUGCAGGGGAGACUGGAAUUCCUGGUGUAGCGGUGGAAUGCGCAGAUAUCAGGAGGAACACCGGUGGCGAAGGCGGCUACCUGGACAGAAACUGACGCUGAGGCGCGAAAGCUAGGGGAGCAAACAGG